CAGCAGUGGGGAAUAUUGGACAAUGGGCGCAAGCCUGAUCCAGCCAUACCGCGUGGGUGAAGAAGGCCUUCGGGUUGUAAAGCCCUUUUGUUGGGAAAGAAAUCCAGCCGGCUAAUACCCGGUUGGGAUGACGGUACCCAAAGAAUAAGCACCGGCUAACUUCGUGCCAGCAGCCGCGGUAAUACGAAGGGUGCAAGCGUUACUCGGAAUUACUGGGCGUAAAGCGUGCGUAGGUGGUCGUUUAAGUCCGUUGUGAAAGCCCUGGGCUCAACCUGGGAACUGCAGUGGAUACUGGGCGACUAGAGUGUGGUAGAGGGUAGCGGAAUUCCUGGUGUAGCAGUGAAAUGCGUAGAGAUCAGGAGGAACAUCCAUGGCGAAGGCAGCUACCUGGACCAACACUGACACUGAGGCACGAAAGCGUGGGGAGCAAACAGGAUUA
rnacentral:rRNA from 1 species